CAGACUUUAGAGCACAUUGAAAGAACGACAACCCAGGGAAUUAAUGAAGAAUGCCAGAAGUUGUCGUCCCUGUUGGGUAUCUCUCCGGAUUUGUUACAAAACACAAGCCAUCACGCCGAUCCAGGAGAUUCAUUGACCAGCUCAACCAACAGAUCCAUCCCUGCCAUCAACACUGCUAUAGCUAACCUACGUUCAUGUAACAACGAACUUCACGGCUACGUGUUUGAACUACGCCAGGAGUUGGAGGCUCUAAAAGAUAUGGUGGAGAGGACAGUCCAGGAGAAGG